GUGCCUUUGAACGGGGUAUGGUAGUAGGCGCCAGGCGCACCAGUUUAAGUGUGUGAAGAACUGCAACGCUGCUGGGUUUUUCAACAGUUUCUCGUGUGUAUUAACAAUGGUCCACCAUGGACAUUCAGCCAACUUGACACAACUGUGGGAAACAUUGGAGUCAACAUGGGUCAGCAUCCCUGUGGAACGCUUUCGUCACCUUGUAGAGUCCAUUCCCUGAUGAACUGAGGCUGUUCUGAGGACAAUAGGGAGGUGCAACUCAACAGUAGGAAGGUGUUCCUAAUGGUUUGUCCACGCAGCUGCCUUACUGACAUCUGCUUUGGUAAGACUGAAAGAGACAUGAUUUAUAUUGAAAAAUGUACUUUGUUUCUGAAUCCAUAUUGUUAAUCGUAGUAGAAUGUGUGGGUUGGCAUGGUGAUAAUAUAUGUACACAUAUUAGACGUAUGUUCCUCUGGACUGGAGGUUCCCAGAAGUUGCUUUGUCAAACACCGAACCUUACAGCAACGUUUUUAAAAUGAUGUAGAGUUCAUGCUAAGCCAACCAUGAGGCCUUUGUCAAUAUAUACAGACAGACUUACUUCCAUGUACUCGUUUAUAUCAUCUGUUCGCUUAUUCGCCUCCCAAAACGUAGUGAAUAUGGUUCUUGAUGUGUUUAACAUUGACACGUCUUCUGAGAGGAAGAUUGUAAAGGAGUUGAUGUAGUCAUUGAUUAUGUUGCAUGAGGAAACUCUUAGCCUUCAAGUGAUUUAUCAGAAACAGUAAUGCUGGAUGACUGUUCCUACCUGAAGAUUUCUGUAUACAGAUUUGUAUAUUUCAGCAGUUUGUACUGUGUAUAUAUAUUUGAUACCGUCUUUGACAACCAAUUAUGUUUUGAAAUCUUUUAAAGAACCUGAAUUUCAUGACUCCUCUUUGUAUUGCUUACUGUGAUAGGAGUAUCAGUAUCCAUCUCCUCUCUGUUCAGGAGUCUCUCCCAGUCCUGACGGUCGUCUAUGGGAGGAUCUCAAUGGCAUUUCCUUGAUUUGUAGCAUCCUCGCUUCUUUCUCAACACCCAUUGGAUAAAAUGGUCAGAUGGGGAGGGAACUCUUACCUUCUCAUCCAAUGGGUUUUGAGAAGGAGGCGAGAAGAGACGAUGCGAAGAAUCAAGGGAAAGCAAUUGAGGUUCUCUCCAUGUCUCAUCUGGCCGGGGCCAGUCUGUUCACAGUUCCACAUAUCCUGUGGCUAGAAAUGUAACAAAAUGAACCAUAAUGUCCCUCAGUAUGUUCCCUAUUUUACACUGACACAAAUGGACAACUAUAUACCUUUUUUUGUUUUCCAAUACAAUGAAUACCGCUCAUUCAAAGGCUUGAUGUAACAGUGAGACAACGGAACACUUUCAGGUUAGUUAUUUACCGAUGCGACAAUGAAUCUGUUGGCUCUCAGCUGAUGUGCUAUUCUCUCCGGUCUCUCUUGUUGUAAGUGAUUUGGAGUCGUUCCUAGAAAUAGAGGCUGCUUCCCAAAUGGCACCCUAUUCCCUACAUAGUGCACUAGUGCCUAGUGCUCUGGUCAAAAGUAGUGCACUAUAUAGUGAAUAGGGUGCCAAUCAGUGUCUGAGAUUCAGCAUCUGAAUAGGACCGUCUGAAUGAAACAGUAUCACUAGUCUGUUCAGGGUUCAUAGCGUUUGUAGCAAAAAUCAGCGUGAGGAUUUUCAUAUCCUUGUCCCAUAGGAAAUGACCUCAGUUGCUAUGUCACUUUCUAGGCUACAGCCUGAGGCCCCUAACUCUGCAUGCCUGCCCUCCUGUCACCCAGAAAUGUGAAACCAAAAUACAAGGAUUCUGUUGGCCUCGCCUUGAAGAAUAAAAUGAGAUCAGAUAUCAAAAACUUUUCUAAAUACUUCAUUUUCUCUGGGUUAAGUUGUUCUUUGCGAUGAGAGCUAUAGGUGCUAUCGUGGUUUUGUAACAAACUACUUGUGAGUUAUGGAUAUAUGUGCUAGUGAAUUGGCAGCGCAUGUUUGAAAGCCUGCAAAUUGUGAAAAAAAUAGCACUUCACACCACCAGAUGGCUCAUAGCAAGCGCCAGUAUUAUUAAUAUAGCUAAGACUACCAGCUGUUGUAAGCCGUCUGAAACAACGCAUAGCUGAACACUGCAGCUCAAUCAGGUGGAAGAACACUGAAUAUCCAUCCAGUAGCAGCUCAAUCAGGUGUCAGAACACUGAAUAUCCAUCCAGUAGCAGCUCAAUCAGGUGUCAGAACACUGAAUAUCCAUCCAGUAGCAGCUCAAUCAGGUGUCAGAACACUGAAUAUCCAUCCAGUAGCAGAUCAAUCAGGUGUCAGAACACUGAAUAUCCAUCCAGUAGCAGCUCAAUCAGGUGUCAGAACACUGAAUAUCCAUCCAGUAGCAGCUCAAUCAGGUGUCAGAACACUGAAUAUCCAUCCAGUAGCAGCUCACUCAGGUGUAAGAACACUGAAUAUCCAUCCAGUAGCAGCUCACUUUGUGGAAGCGAACCAUCCCAUCUCCUCCCUCAAAUACACAGGCGUUGAGCAUGUUGCUCUACCAAGGAGAGGAGGUAACAUGGAGGUCCUACUACUACAGAGGGAGGCCUACUGGAUAUCCUGUCUAAAAACAUUGACCCCUAGUGGUCUGAUUAUUGACUUAGCUCUCAGACACUUCUUAUGAACACGUAUUAAAAAAAUCGGUAUAUUCUUUCUACAGGUUAUCAGCGUACACCCAAUAUGUUCCCCCUGUUGAUGAUGCUUAUUAUGCAUUAGGGUUGAACCAAAAGAUUAUUGGAAACAAUUAUUUAUUUUUAUAUAUAUAUAUAUAUAUAUAUAUAUAUAUAUACACACAUGUAUAUAUAUAUGUGGAAUUACAUUAAACAAUGUAUGUUGAUGCAAUUAUUUCUGUACAACAUCUAAUUAUGUUUCCAUGUGAUAACAGUAGCCUAAUAUAUUCAAUAUGCUGAAAACUAUUGUUUUUUUUAACAGUUUUACUCAAUUCAUUCUAAUCAACCUAAUAGUUAUGGCAUGCCCCUCACUGUUGUCAUUGGUUGCUCUAAUAGUUAUGGCACGCCCCUCACUGUUGUCAUUGGUUGCUCUAAUAGUUAUGACACGCCCCUCACUGUUGUCAUUGGUUGCUCUAAUUGCCUUGUUUGUCUUCAUAACCUGGUUCCAGCAUUCAUGACAUCACCCUGAAGAAGACACAGUGAUGCUGAAAUGUUGCUGUUUUACCCAAUAAAUUACUGGGACUUA